rnacentral:tRNA from 1 species
GGGGAUGUAGCUCAGUGGCACAGCACCUGCCUGACAAGCGAAGGCCCUGAGUUCGAUUCCCAGUACCUCCC